rnacentral:rRNA from 1 species
GAUAAACGCUGGCGGCGCACAUAAGACAUGCAAGUCGAACGGACUUAACCAUUAGUUUACUAUUGGAGCGGUUAGUGGCGGACUGGUGAGUAACACGUAAGCAAUCUGCCUAUCAGAGGGGAACAACAGUUAGAAAUGACUGCUAAUACCGCAUAUGCCUAAGUACCACAUGGUACAAUAGGGAAAGGAGCAAUCCGCUGAUAGAUGAGCUUGCGUCUGAUUAGAUAGUUGGUGGGGUAACGGCCUACCAAGUCUACGAUCAGUAGCCGGACUGAGAGGUUGAACGGCCACAUUGGGACUGAGAUACGGCCCAGACUCCUACGGGAGGCAGCAGUCGGGAAUAUUGCGCAAUGGAGGAAACUCUGACGCAGUGACGCCGCGUAUAGGAAGAAGGUUUUCGGAUUGUAAACUAUUGUCGUUAGGGAAGAUACAAGACAGUACCUAAGGAGGAAGCCCCGGCUAACCUAUGUGCCAGCAGCCGCGGU